GGUCCAAAUUUGAAGUAAAGUAGAUUAGUACGAUCAGUUGACCCUACUAAACUACUCUACUUUGAAUUUGGGCCU
rfam:Haemonchus contortus, ISE/inbred ISE, WGS project CAVP01000000 data, contig: Hcontortus_15642